rnacentral:rRNA from 1 species
CAAAAGCACUGCGGCGUACUUACACAUGCAGUCGAACGGGAUCCAUCGGGCUUUGCUUGGUGGUGAGAGUGGCGAACGGGUGAGUAAUGCGUGACCGACCUGCCCCAUGCACCGGAAUAGCUCCUGGAAACGGGUGGUAAUGCCGGAUGCUCCAUCACACCGCAUGGUGUGUUGGGAAAGCCUUUGCGGCAUGGGAUGGGGUCGCGUCCUAUCAGCUUGAUGGCGGGGUAACGGCCCACCAUGGCUUCGACGGGUAGCCGGCCUGAGAGGGCGACCGGCCACAUUGGGACUGAGAUACGGCCCAGACUCCUACGGGAGGCAGCAGUGGGGAAUAUUGCACAAUGGGCGCAAGCCUGAUGCAGCGACGCCGCGUGAGGGAUGGAGGCCUUCGGGUUGUAAACCUCUUUUGUUAGGGAGCAAGGCACUUUGUGUUGAGUGUACCUUUCGAAUAAGCACCGGCUAACUACGUGCCAGCAGCCGCGGUAAUACGUAGGGUGCAAGCGUUAUCCGGAAUUAUUGGGCGUAAAGGGCUCGUAGGCGGUUCGUCGCGUCCGGUGUGAAAGUCCAUCGCUUAACGGUGGAUCCGCGCCGGGUACGGGCGGGCUUGAGUGCGGUAGGGGAGACUGGAAUUCCCGGUGUAACGGUGGAAUGUGUAGAUAUCGGGAAGAACACCAAUGGCGAAGGCAGGUCUCUGGGCCGUUACUGACGCUGAGGAGCGAAAGCGUGGGGAGCGAACAGGAUUAGAUACCCUGGUAGUCCACGCCGUAAACGGUGGAUGCUGGAUGUGGGGCCCGUUCCACGGGUUCCGUGUCGGAGCUAACGCGUUAAGCAUCCCGCCUGGGGGAGUACGGCCGCAAGGCUAAACUCAAAGAAAUUGACGGGGGCCCGCACAAGCGGCGGAGCAUGCGGAUUAAUUCGAUGCAACGCGAAGAACUUUACCUGGGCUUGACAUGUUCCCGACGAUCCCAGAGAUGGGGUUUCCCUUCGGGCUGGUUCACAGUGGCGCAUUGUCGUCGUCAGCUCGUGUCGUGAGAUGUUGGGUCAGUCCGCCACGAGCGCACCCUCGCCGCGUUGCCAGGGAAUGUGGCCGGUUAAUUC